GAGUUUGAUCCUGGCUCAGAACGAACGCUGGCGGCGUGCUUAACACAUGCAAGUCGAACGUGAUCCGGAGCUUGCUCCGGUGAAAGUGGCGCACGGGUGAGUAACGCGUGGAUAAUCUGCCCUGGUAUCUGGGAUAACAUCUCGAAAGGGGUGCUAAUACCGGAUAAGCCCACGGGAUCCUCGGAUUCUGCGGGAAAAGGUGGCCUCUAUUUAUAAGCUACCGUAUCAGGAUGAGUCCGCGUACCAUUAGCUAGUUGGUGGGGUAAUGGCCCACCAAGGCUACGAUGGUUAGCUGGUCUGAGAGGAUGAUCAGCCACACUGGAACUGAGACACGGUCCAGACUCCUACGGGAGGCAGCAGUGGGGAAUUUUGCGCAAUGGGGGAAACCCUGACGCAGCAACGCCGCGUGAGUGAUGAAGGCUUUCGGGUCGUAAAGCUCUGUCGAGGGGAAAGAAGUGUAUUGUGGCUAAUAUCCAUGAUACUUGACGGUACCCCUAAAGGAAGCACCGGCUAACUCCGUGCCAGCAGCCGCGGUAAUAC
rnacentral:rRNA from 1 species